rnacentral:rRNA from 1 species
UACGUAGGGGCCUAGCGUUGUCCGGAAUUAUUGGGCGUAAAGAGCUUGUAGGCGGUUUGUCGCGUCUGCUGUGAAAUUUCGGGGCUCAACCCCGAACUUGCAGUGGGUACGGGCAGACUAGAGUGUGGUAGGGGAGACUGGAAUUCCUGGUGUAGCGGUGAAAUGCGCAGAUAUCAGGAGGAACACCAAUGGCGAAGGCAGCUCGCUGGAACGGUACUGACGCUGAGGCGCGAAAGCGUGGGGAGCGAACAGG